AGUGAACGCUGGCGGUAGGCCUAACACAUGCCAGUCGAACGGCAGCACAGUAAGAGCUUGCUCUUACGGGUGGCGAGUGGCGGACGGGUGAGGAAUACAUCGGAAUCUACUUUUUCGUGGGGGGUAACGUAGGGAAACUUACGCUAAUACCGCAUACGACCUACGGGUGAAAGCAGGGGAUCUUCGGACCUUGCGCGAUUGAAUGAGCCGAUGUCGGAUUAGCUAGUUGGCGGGGUAAAGGCCCACCAAGGCGACGAUCCGUAGCUGGUCUGAGAGGAUGAUCAGCCACACUGGAACUGAGACACGGUCCAGACUCCUACGGGAGGCAGCAGUGGGGAAUAUUGGACAAUGGGCGCAAGCCUGAUCCAGCCAUACCGCGUGGGUGAAGAGGGCCUUCGGGUUGUAAAGCCCUUUUGUUGGGAAAGAAAAGCAGCAGGUUAAUACCCCGCUGUUCUGACGGUACCCAAAGAAUAAGCACCGGCUAACUUCGUG
rnacentral:rRNA from 1 species